CCCUUAGAUGUUCUGGGCCGCACGCGCGCUACACUGAUGCAUUCAACGAGCCUAUCCUUGACCGACAGGUCCGGGUAAUCUUUGAAUCUGCAUCGUGACGGGGAUAGAUUAUUGCAAUUAUUAAUCUUCAACGAGGAAUGCCUAGUAGGCGCAAGUCAUCAGCUUGCGUCGAUUACGUCCCUACCCUUUGUACACACCGCCCGUCGCUCCUACCGAUUGGGUGUGCUGGUGAAAUGUUCGGAUCGGCCGUUUGUCGCGGUUUCCGCGGCUCGUGGCUGAGAAGUUCAUUAAACCCUCCCACCUAGAGGAAGGAGAAGUCGUAACA
rnacentral:rRNA from 1 species